CAAUGCGUUUUCCUUAAUUCAUUGGUUACUGGUCCAAUCUUUCUUAAUAUAACCUUUGAUCUGAAUGUCUGACAUAACAAAUUAAUCAUUCUGUUCCUCUCUAGAACAGUUGGUUAGUUCUCUAGGGUAGUUGGUUAGUUCUCCAGUGGACAAUUCCUUCGUUACAUACAUCGAAAACCAUUUCAAAUCAUUGACAUUAAGUAAUGCUCAGAAUUAAUCUCUAGCAAUCGCCUCAAUUUCUAUGGUUCAAGAAAAUCAUAAAUUUGGAUUGGUCUGCAAUUCUUGUUAGUUUAUCUACAAUUUUCUUCAGGGUUCCAAGAGGACUUUGGUUUUUCGAUUAUCAUAAAUACGAAUUUCAUCCUAGCUCCUUAAUUUUGAUGCUUAUGAAAUGGUCCCUUCUGGACCUUGUGCUAGAAUGUUGGCUAUUCUAAUGUUUUCUGAGAGAAGGUUAUUCUAUUGUUUUGAGCUGGCUAUUGUAUCAGGGCGUAUGUUAACUAGACUACCAACCCAAGGUGCCUUCUGUUUUAUCGAUUUUUGCUAUAGCUCCCCUUUUCUAUGCUUUCUUAUUUAUUGAUAUCAGAUUUUUCAAUACUUUCCACUUAUUUUGUGCAUUAGAGUAUUAUCUACUUUGAGCUUCUACUCUUUGCCAAUUUCGUCUUUGAACAGUUAACGUUAUAAUUGUGUUUCAUCUAUGCUGAAGUUAUCUUUCUGCUGCGAUGAGCUGGUUUCAUGCUCAAGACCUACAAACAGCAAAUCUUAUGAAAAUAUAUUAUACACCUUAUCCUAAUUACAUU
rnacentral:lncRNA from 1 species